UGUAUUGGAUCAUUCAGUGCCCAGAACACACUUAUGAGUUAAAUACUAUUGCAAAAUUCAAUUUUACAGAUGGAAAACUGAGGGACAGAGAGGAUAAUGGCUUUGCCUAAGACUGAACAGUUAGGGAGUGGGACAGCUUGGGCUUAUGUGCAGUGCAUCAUGCUCUAGAGCCUGGGAAACUGUGAAAGCUCUGUUGUUAGGUGAAAGAAGCAGUCUGCAAGCAUACAUACUUUAGGAGCUCAUUAAAAGUAAUAUGCCCUAUGUUAAUACAUUUACACAAAAAACUGGACCUAGUGACAAAUAGGUGGACUGCAACCUUGGUAAGAUCAUGUUCAUUGCAAUCCUGGGGACAGAAGCCACAGUGCAGGGGGAAGUGAAGAAUUUUAACAGGAAAUGUAGAAAACUCUUUUUGGUAGUUUAACUUUGAAGGGAAAGAGAUGGAGAUUCUGGCUGAAUGAGGAGAUUUUAAAAAAUAAUCAAUUUCUUGAAACUUGAGAAAGUUUUAAAAUGAAUAUACUUAGGGGUUUUGCUAAAUGAGAAGAUUUUGGCUGUUCUUGCCAUGCACAAAAAAAUGGGUAACUAUGUGGUGUUAUGAAUAUGUUUAUUUUCUUCAUUAUAUAGUAACUAAUACUUUACUUUCUGUAUGUAUCUUAGAACAUCAUGUUGCAUAUCUUAUAGACAAUAAAUGUAUUUUUAAAAGUUAA